CCUACGGGUGGCAGCAGUGGGGGAUAUUGCACAAUGGGGGAAACCCUGAUGCAGCGACGCCGCGUGAGGGAAGACGGUCCUCUGGAUUGUAAACCACUGUCCCCAGGGACGAAGAUGACGGUACCUGGGGAGGAAGCUCCGGCCAACUACGUGCCAGCAGCCGCGGUAAUACGUAGGGAGCGAGCGUUGUCCGGAAUUACUGGGUGUAAGGGGAGCGUAGGCGGGACUGCAAGUUGGGUGUCAAAUCUACCGGCUCAACCGGUAGCCGCACUCAAAACUGCAGUUCUUGAGUGAAGUAGAGGCAGGCGGAAUUCCUAGUGUAGCGGUGAAAUGCGUAGAUAUUAGGAGGAACACCAGUGGCGAAGGCGGCCUGCUGGGCUUUUACUGACGCUGAGGCUCGAAAGUGUGGGGAGCAAACAGGAUUAGAUACCCCAGUAGUC
rnacentral:rRNA from 1 species